rnacentral:rRNA from 1 species
CCUACGGGAGGCUGCAGUGAGGAAUAUUGGUCAAUGGGCUUACGCCUGAACCAGCCAAGUCGCGUGAGGGACGACUGCCCUAUGGGUUGUAAACCUCUUUUGUCAGGGAGCAACGCCGGCUACGUGUAGCCGGACUGAGAGUACCUGAAGAAAAAGCCUCGGCUAACUCCGUGCCAGCAGCCGCGGUAAUACGGAGGAUGCGAGCGUUAUCCGGAUUUAUUGGGUUUAAUGGGUGCGUAGGCGGAAUGCCAAGUCAGCGGUAAAAGCGCGGGGCUCAACCUCGCGCCGCCGGUGAAACUGGCGGUAGUGAGGGGGCGAGAAGUAUGCGGAAUGCGUGGUGUAGCGGUGAAAUGCAUAGAUAUCACGCAGAACUCCGAUUGCGAAGGCAGCAUACCGGCGCCCAACUGACGCUGAAGCACGAAAGCGUGGGUAUCGAACAGGAGUAGAUACCCCUGUAGUC